AGGAUGAACGCUGGCGGCGUGCCUAACACAUGCAAGUCGAACGCGCUCCAUUCGGUAGCAAUACCGAUGAAGAGUGAGUGGCGAACGGGUGAGUAACACAUGAGCAACCUGCCCCGAUGACUGGGACAACACCGGGAAACCGGUGCUAAUACCGGAUAUCCCUAUCGGAUCGCAUGAUCUGAUAAGGAAAUGGAUUCCGCUUUGGGAGGGGCUCGCGGCCUAUCAGCUUGUUGGUGAGGUAACGGCUCACCAAGGCGUCGACGGGUAGCUGGUCUGAGAGGACGAUCAGCCACACUGGGACUGAGACACGGCCCAGACUCCUACGGGAGGCAGCAGUGGGGAAUCUUGCACAAUGGGCGAAAGCCUGAUGCAGCAACGCCGCGUGAGGGACGAAGGCUUUCUGAGUUGUAAACCUCUUUCAGCAGGAACGAUAGUGACGGUACCUGCAGAAGAACGCCCGGCCAACUACGUGCCAGCA
rnacentral:rRNA from 1 species